AAGUCGUAACAAGGUUUCCGUAGGUGAACCUGCGGAAGGAUCAUUAUCAAAUGCUUUAAGAAGUCUAAACAACUUCUUACUGUUCACCCUUUGUCUUUUGCGUACUGUAUGUUUCCUCGGUGGGUUCGCCCGCCGAUAGGACAUUUAAAACCCUUUGUAGUUGCAAUCAGCGUCAGAAAAAAACUAUAAUAGUUACAACUUUCAACAACGGAUCUCUUGGUUCUGGCAUCGAUGAAGAACGCAGCGAAAUGCGAAAAGUAGUGUGAAUUGCAGAAUUCAGUGAAUCAUCGAAUCUUUGAACGCACAUUGCGCCCCUUGGUAUUCCAUGGGGCAUGCCUGUUCGAGCGUCAUUUGUACCCUCAAGCUCAGUCUUGGUGUUGGGUGUUUGUCCUGCCCUCGCGGCGGACUCGCCUUAAAGUGAUUGGCAGCCGGAAUAAUUCUGGGGAACGCAGCACAACUGCAGCCUCUAGUCUUAUACGCCGAGCGUCCAACAAGCCUUUUAUUCUUGCGUUUGACCUCGGAUCAGGUAGGGAUACCCGCUGAACUUAA
rnacentral:misc_RNA from 1 species